rnacentral:rRNA from 1 species
GACAGAGGAUGCAAGCGUUAUCCGGAAUUACUGGGCGUAAAGCGCACGUAGGCGGCUUCUUAAGUCGGUGGUGAAAUCCUGGAGCUCAACUCCAGAACUGCCUUCGAUACUGGGAGCUCGAGUCCGGGAGAGGUGAGUGGAACUGCGAGUGUAGAGGUGAAAUUCGUAGAUAUUCGCAGGAACACCAGUGGCGAAGGCGGCUCACUGGCCCGGUACUGACGCUGAGGUGCGAAAGCG